rnacentral:rRNA from 1 species
GAUGAACGCUGACAGAAUGCUUAACACAUGCAAGUCUUUGGCGAAGCUGUGCUUGCACAGCCUAGCCAAGGCGGACGGGUGAGUAACGCGUAAGGAACUUGCCCUGCAGUCAGGGAUAACAGACGGAAACGACUGAUAAGACCUGGUAAAGUCAGGCGGACUCAUGUCCAGCCUGAUGAAAAGAGAUGCUGCAGGAGAGCCUUGCGUCCUAUUAGCUUGUUGGUGGGGUAACGGCCCACCAAGGCGUUGAUAGGUAGCCGGCCUGAGAGGGUGGACGGCCACAAGGGGACUGAGAUACGGCCCUUACUCCUACGGGAGGCAGCAGUGGGGAAUAUUGGACAAUGGGGGCAACCCUGAUCCAGCAAUUCUGUGUGCACGAUGAAGGUUUUCGGAUUGUAAAGUGCUUUCAGCAGGGAAGAAAAAAAUGACGGUACCUGCAGAAGAAGCGACGGCUAAAUACGUG